UGUCCUACGGGAGGCAGCAGUGGGGAAUAUUGCACAAUGGGCGCAAGCCUGAUGCAGCGACGCCGCGUGCGGGAUGGAGGCCUACGGGUUGUAAACCUCUUUUGUCGGGGAGCAAAUUCCGCCACGUGUGGCGGAGUCGAGAGUACCCGAAGAAAAAGCAUCGGCUAACUCCGUGCCAGCAGCCGCGGUAAUACGGAGGAUGCGAGCGUUAUCCGGAUUUAUUGGGUUUAAAGGGUGCGUAGGCGGACUGUCAAGUCAGCGGUAAAAUACGGGGGCUCAACCUCCGCCCGCCGUUGAAACUGACG
rnacentral:rRNA from 1 species